UACGUAGGGUGCGAGCGUUAAUCGGAAUUACUGGGCGUAAAGCGUGCGCAGGCGGUUUUUUAAGACAGGCGUGAAAUCCCCGGGCUUAACCUGGGAACUGCGCUUGUGACUGGAAGGCUAGAGUAUGGCAGAGGGGGGUGGAAUUCCACGUGUAGCAGUGAAAUGCGUAGAGAUGUGGAGGAACACCGAUGGCGAAGGCAGCCCCCUGGGCAGAUACUGACGCUCAUGCACGAAAGCGUGGGGAGCAAACAGG
rnacentral:rRNA from 1 species